CGCUCCUCUCACGGAGAUUAGGAUGAUGAUGACGGUGUGUGUACACGGAGUUACACCGAGAGUCCGCGGGUGACGGAGCUCCGGGUUUCCUCCUCCACCGCAUCGGAGUUACAGAGCAGACUCUUCUCCAUUUGUGAUUCAGCAGCUUGAGUGUGCACGAGUGGCUCUGCUUCCCAGAGUGCAGUGGGGCUUCGGAGCUUCUCUGGAAACGAGAGAGAAAAGAAACGAAAGGCCUCGAAGACACUUGGAGGAUCUUUACAAAGAACAGUGUCUGCAUGAUAUAUGUGGACAUCUAUUUUUCCACAUCAAACCUGGACAGACAGAUUUACGGAAAGCAGGAGAUCUUGUUCCUGAAAUACCUGCCAAGUUAGCCUCAUAAACGCAAGCAGUAACAUCAGGAGUUCUUCAGCAGCGUGCUUUUGAUUGCCGUGCACGAGACGGCUGAAGCACUUGAACAGAUGUGAAGGGAGAAAACUAGGACACGUCUCAUUUCUGUUGAAGGUAGAAGAGGACCGAGUAGGAUGACGGUGCAGGAUGGCAGAGGAGAAACGCGACUCGGUUUGUUGUGAUCUUCAGACGGGGUUUUGAACUGCUGAUCGCUCUGACACCGUCUCAGCGAUUACU